ACCUGGCUGGCUCAGUCGGCAGAGUAUCAGACUCUUGAUCUCAGGGUUGUGAGUUUGAGUCCCACGUCGGGUG
rnacentral:tRNA from 1 species